GACGAACGCUGGCGGCGUGCUUAACACAUGCAAGUCGAACGGUGAAGCCUUUCGGGGUGGAUCAGUGGCGAACGGGUGAGUAACACGUGGGCAAUCUGCCCUGCACUCUGGGACAAGCCCUGGAAACGGGGUCUAAUACCGGAUAUGACUUCCUGCCGCAUGGUGGGGGGUGGAAAGCUCUGGUGGUGCAGGAUGAGCCCGCGGCCUAUCAGCUUGUUGGUGGGGUGAUGGCCUACCAAGGCGACGACGGGUAGCCGGCCUGGGAGGGCGACCGGCCACACUGGGACUGAUACACGGCCCAGACGCCAUCGGGAGGCAGCAGUGGGGAAUAUUGCACAAUGGGCGGAAGCCUGAUGCAGCGACGCCGCGUGGGGGAUGACGGCCUUCGGGUUGUAAACCUCUUUCAGCAGGGAAGAAGCGUGAGUGACGGUACCUGCAGAAGAAGCACCGGCUAACUACGUGCCAGCAGCCGCAGUAA
rnacentral:rRNA from 1 species